rnacentral:rRNA from 1 species
UACAAAUCUGGCUGUCGAGAUGCCUAAAAAGCAUUUCAUAGCAAGGGCCGGGCAAGGCCGGUGCCAGCCGCCGCGGUAACACCGGCGGCUCGAGUGGUAACCGUUAUUAUUGGGUCUAAAGGGUCUGUAGCCGGCCGGAUAAGUCUCUUGGGAAAUCUGGCAGCUUAACUGUCAGGCUUUCAGGAGAUACUGUUCGGCUCGAGGCCGGGAGAGGUGAGAGGUACUUCAGGGGUAGGGGUGAAAUCUUGUAAUCCUUGAAGGACCACCAGUGGCGAAGGCGUCUCACCAGAACGGACCUGACGGCAAGGGACGAAAGCUAGGGGCACGAACCGGAUUAGAUACCCGGGUAGUCCUAGCCGUAAACGAUACUCGCUAGGUGUCGGCCACGGUGCGACCGUUGUCGGUGCCGUAGGGAAGCCGUGAAGCGAG